GCCUCUGUAGCUCAGUGGUAGAGCUCCCGCCUUGUAAGCGGAAGGUCGUGGGUUCAAUCCCCACCGGAGGCUCCA
rnacentral:tRNA from 1 species